UACAGAGGUCUCAAGCGUUGUUCGGAUUCAUUGUGCGUAAAGGGUGCGUAGGCGGCGCGGUAAGUCGGGUGUGAAAUCUCGGAGCUUAACUCCGAAACUGCAUUCGAUACUGCCGUGCUUGAGGACUGGAGAGGAGACUGGAAUUUACGGUGUAGCGGUGAAAUGCGUAGAUAUCAGGAGGAACACCGGUGGCGAAGGCGGAUCUCUGGGCCUUACCUGACGCUCAGGCGCGAAAGCUAGGGGAGCGAACUGG
rnacentral:rRNA from 1 species